UACGAAGGGGGCUAGCGUUGUUCGGAAUUACUGGGCGUAAAGCGCGCGUAGGCGGGUCAUUAAGUCAGUGGUGAAAUCCCGGGGCUCAACCUCGGAAUUGCCUCUGAUACUGGUGACCUCGAGUCCGUGAGAGGUGAGUGGAACUCCGAGUGUAGAGGUGAAAUUCGUAGAUAUUCGGAAGAACACCAGUGGCGAAGGCGGCUCACUGGCACGGUACUGACGCUGAGGUGCGAAAGCGUGGGGAGCAAACAGG
rnacentral:rRNA from 1 species